UGUAAGUUCAUUACCUUCUUGAUGGCCCAAAAACAUCAGAUGAGUUUAGGAAUAUGAAUUUGGGAUUGUCGUACCUUUUCAGGUCAAACAAAAUAUGACUGACAGAACUCAUCAACUUCUAGAUGCUUGAUCAAAGGGCAGAUACACAGUGGUGGGUGUUUUGUCCCAGUCUCAAGCCGUCAAUCCAUUUUGAUCAAUAUAUCUAGUAGAAGUAACCAUGCAGAUCAUUGUCUUCGAGGCCGACUAGCUAUUUUGUGCUUUUUUUGUUUUAAAUUUGAAUGUCACUAACUACUUUGAAACAGAAAUAUUUAGUCUUUGUGUAUAGUUGAAUUCUCCUAUAAAUACUAAUACUUUGUAGUUGAAUUCUAUUGUUUGGUACGAGUUUGAAAUCAUUAGCUGAGCUAAUUAAUGCUAUUUUAUA